rnacentral:rRNA from 1 species
UAGCGGAUGACCUGUGGCUGGGGGUGAAAGGCCAAUCAAACCGGGAGAUAGCUGGUUCUCCCCGAAAGCUAUUUAGGUAGCGCCUCGUGAAUUCAUCUCCGGGGGUAGAGCACUGUUUCGGCUAGGGGGCCAUCCCGGCUUACCAACCCGAUGCAAACUGCGAAUACCGGAGAAUGUUAUCACGGGAGACACACGGCGGGUGCUAACGUCCGUCGUGAAGAGGGAAACAACCCAGACCGCCAGCUAAGGUCCCAAAGUCAUAGUUAAGUGGGAAACGAUGUGGGAAGGCCCAGACAGCCAGGAUGUUGGCUUAGAAGCAGCCAUCAUUUAAAGAAAGCGUAAUAGCUCACUGGUCGAGUCGGCCUGCGCGGAAGAUGUAACGGGGCUAAACUAUGCACCGAAGCUGCGGCAGCGACACUAUGUGUUGUUGGGUAGGGGAGCGUUCUGUAAGCCUGUGAAGGUGUGUCGUGAGGCAUGCUGGAGGUAUCAGAAGUGCGAAUGCUGACAUAAGUAACGAUAAAGCGGGUGAAAAGCCCGCUCGCCGGAAGACCAAGGGUUCCUGUCCAACGUUAAUCGGGGCAGGGUGAGUCGACCCCUAAGGCGAGGCCGAAAGGCGUAGUCGAUGGGAAACGGGUUAAUAUUCCCGUACUUGGUGUUACUGCGAAGGGGGGACGGAGAAGGCUAUGUUGGCCGGGCGACGGUUGUCCCGGUUUAAGCGUGUAGGUGUGUGUUCCAGGUAAAUCCGGUUCACUUUAACACUGAGGCGUGACGACGAGGCACUACGGUGCUGAAGCAACAAAUGCCCUGCUUCCAGGAAAAGCCUCUAAGCAUCAGGUAACAUCAAAUCGUACCCCAAACCGACACAGGUGGUCAGGUAGAGAAUACCAAGGCGCUUGAGAGAACUCGGGUGAAGGAACUAGGCAAAAUGGUGCCGUAACUUCGGGAGAAGGCACGCUGACACGUAGGUGAAGUGAUUUACUCAUGGAGCUGAAGUCAGUCGAAGAUACCAGCUGGCUGCAACUGUUUAUUAAAAACACAGCACUGUGCAAACACGAAAGUGGACGUAUACGGUGUGACGCCUGCCCGGUGCCGGAAGGUUAAUUGAUGGGGUCAGCGCAAGCGAAGCUCCUGAUCGAAGCCCCGGUAAACGGCGGCCGUAACUAUAACGGUCCUAAGGUAGCGAAAUUCCUUGUCGGGUAAGUUCCGACCUGCACGAAUGGCGUAAUGAUGGCCAGGCUGUCUCCACCCGAGACUCAGUGAAAUUGAACUCGCUGUGAAGAUGCAGUGUACCCGCGGCAAGACGGAAAGACCCCGUGAACCUUUACUAUAGCUUGACACUGAACAUUGAGCCUUGAUGUGUAG